CUUUGAACCACUUGAUUGCGGUACUAAAUUAAAUUAUGGCAUUACUUCAUUCAUUUUAGAUCUAUCUCCAGUUUGUUUGAGAAAUAUUCGAUUUUAAUGAACUCUGAAAUGGUAUUGUAUACUAAAUUAAUUAGUCCACAUCAUACGCGUUUUGUCUAACAUAAAGAUGUAUUUUAUAUAAUAAAACCAUAUUUUGACCGCCGCGUCGGUGGCCCGUA
rnacentral:sRNA from 1 species